rnacentral:rRNA from 3 species
CUCAGGAUGAACGCUGGCGGCGUGCCUAAUACAUGCAAGUCGAACGCGGGCACUUGUGCCCGAGUGGCGAACGGGUGAGUAAUACAUAAGUAACCUGGCCUUUACAGGGGGAUAACUGCUGGAAACGGUAGCUAAGACCGCAUAGGUAGGGACACUGCAUGGUGACCGUAUUAAAAGUGCUGCAAGGCACUGGUAGAGGAUGGACUUAUGGCGCAUUAGCUGGUUGGUGAGGUAACGGCUCACCAAGGCGACGAUGCGUAGCCGACCUGAGAGGGUGACCGGCCACACUGGGACUGAGACACGGCCCAGACUCCUACGGGAGGCAGCAGUAGGGAAUUUUCGGCAAUGGGGGGAACCCUGACCGAGCAACGCCGCGUGAAGGAAGAAGGAAUUCGUUCUGUAAACUUCUGUUAUAAAGGAAGAAAGGCGGAUGGAGGAAAUGACAUCCGAGUGACGGUACUUUAUGAGAAAGCCACGGCUAACUACGUGCCAGCAGCCGCGGUAAUACGUAGGUGGCAAGCGUUAUCCGGAAUUAUUGGGCGUAAAGAGGGAGCAGGCGGCAGCAAAGGUCUGUGGUGAAAGACUGAAGCUUAACUUCAGUAAGCCAUAGAAACCAGGCAGCUAGAGUGCAGGAGAGGAUCGUGGAAUUCCAUGUGUAGCGGUGAAAUGCGUAGAUAUAUGGAGGAACACCAGUGGCGAAGGCGACGAUCUGGCCUGUAACUGACGCUCAGUCCCGAAAGCGUGGGGAGCAAAUAGGAUUAGAUACCCUAGUAGUCCACGCCGUAAACGAUGAGUACUAAGUGUUGGAAGUCAAAUUUCAGUGCUGCAGUUAACGCAGUAAGUACUCCGCCUGAGUAGUAGCUUCGCAAGAAUGAAACUCAAAGGAAUUGACGGGGGCCCGCACAAGCGGUGGAGCAUGUGGUUUAAUUCGAAGCAACGCGAAGAACCUUACCAGGUCUUGACAUACUCAUAAAGGAUCCAGAGAUGGAUAGAUAGUUAUAUGAGAUACAGGUGGUGCAUGGUUGUCGUCAGCUCGUGUCGUGAGAUGUUGGGUUAAGUCCCGCAACGAGCGCAACCCUUAUCGUUAGUUACCAUCAUUAAGUUGGGGACUCUAGCGAGACUGCCAGUGACAAGCUGGAGGAAGGCGGGGAUGACGUCAAAUCAUCAUGCCCCUUAUGACCUGGGCUACACACGUGCUACAAUGGAUGGUGCAGAGGGAAGCGAAGCCGCGAGGCGAAGCAAAACCCAUAAAACCAUUCUCAGUUCGGAUUGUAGUCUGCAACUCGACUACAUGAAGUUGGAAUCGCUAGUAAUCGCGAAUCAGCAUGUCGCGGUGAAUACGUUCUCGGGCCUUGUACACACCGCCCGUCACACCAUGAGAGUUGAUAACACCCGAAGCCGGUGGCCUAACCGAAAGGAAGGAGCUGUCUAAGGUGGGAUUGAUGAUUGGGGUGAAGUCGUAACAAGGUAUCCCUACGGGAACGUGGGG